rnacentral:lncRNA from 1 species
GUGCCAGGGGCGUAGAAUGGGCCUCGAUCUGGACUUCUGUACCAUACCAUAUCAUAUCAUAUCGAGGACUAAUGGAUCAUCCAAUAACCAUCCACAUCAACAGUAAUUAAUGCAAUGCAUCAUAUUUGUGAAUUCUAAUGCAAACAUCCUAGUAUAUAACAUGGCAUUCAUGAUGCAUGAACAUGCUCAAAAUUUAUUUACUUUGAAACAUAAAGAUCCAUUCUACUCACCUCAGGCUGACUCUGAACAGACUCUGAAGCAGCUAUCUCACUGCUGGGGUCCUCGGUUCCUCGGGUUCGAACCUACACAGGUGGACUCAAAUGAGGGACCAAACAUACACUAACAUAACUCUAAACAUCUCCCUAAAAACCCCCAAAAACACCUUAAAACAAUCAUAGAAAAC